CGAGACGUAGCUACAACACAAAGCAUUCAGCUUACACCUGAAAGAUAUCUGCUACUGACCAGAUCGUCUUGA
rnacentral:tRNA from 1 species